rnacentral:rRNA from 1 species
UCAGGAUGAACGCUAGCUACAGGCUUAACACAUGCAAGUCGAGGGGCAGCAUGUGGUUGCUUGCAACCAAUGAUGGCGACCGGCGCACGGGUGAGUAACGCGUAUCCAACCUUCCCUGUAGUAGAGAAUAGCCCGGCGAAAGUCGGAUUAAUACUCUAUGUUAUUCAAUGCGGACAUCUAAGUUGAAUCAAAGGUUUACCGCUAUAGGAUGGGGAUGCGUCUGAUUAGGUUGUUGGCGGGGUAACGGCCCACCAAGCCCUCGAUCAGUAGGGGUUCUGAGAGGAAGGUCCCCCACAUUGGAACUGAGACACGGUCCAAACUCCUACGGGAGGCAGCAGUGAGGAAUAUUGGUCAAUGGGCGAGAGCCUGAACCAGCCAAGUAAGCGUGCAGGAUGACGGCCCUAUGGGUUGUAAACUGCUUUUAUACAGGGAUAAAGUCGGGGACGUGUCCCCGUUUGUAGGUACUGUAUGAAUAAGGACCGGCUAAUUCCGUGCCAGCCGCGGC